rnacentral:rRNA from 1 species
GGAUAACCGCCGGAAACGGUGGCUAAUACCGAAUACGACCAAUCUUCGCAUGAGGUGUUGGUGGAAAGUUUUUUCGGUGAAGGAUGUGCUCGCGGCCUAUCAGCUUGUUGGUGAGGUAACGGCUCACCAAGGCUUCGACGGGUAGCCGGCCUGAGAGGGUGACCGGCCACACUGGGACUGAGACACGGCCCAGACUCCUACGGGAGGCAGCAGUGGGGAAUAUUGGACAAUGGGCGAAAGCCUGAUCCAGCAACGCCGCGUGAGGGAUGACGGCCUUCGGGUUGUAAACCUCUUUCAGUACCGACGAAGCGCCUUUAACGGUGGUGACGGUAGGUACAGAAGAAGGACCGGCCAACUACGUGCCAGCAGCCGCGGUAAUACGUAGGGUCCGAGCGUUGUCCGGAAUUAUUGGGCGUAAAGGGCUCGUAGGCGGUCUGUUGCGUCGGGAGUGAAAAUUCACAGCUUAACUGUGAACUUGCUUCCGAUACGGGCAGACUUGAGGUAUUCAGGGGAGAACGGAAUUCCUGGUGUAGCGGUGAAAUGCGCAGAUAUCAGGAGGAACACCGGUGGCGAAGGCGGUUCUCUGGGAAUAUCCUGACGCUGAGGAGCGAAAGUGUGGGGAGCGAAGA